UUAAGCGACUAAGCGUACACGGUGGAUGCCCUGGCAGUCAGAGGCGAUGAAGGGCGUGCUAAUCUGCGAAAAGCGCCGGUAAGGUGAUAUGAACCGUUAUAACCGGCGAUACCCGAAUGGGGAAACCCAGUGUGACUCGUCACACUAUCAUUAACUGAAUUCAUAGGUUAAUGAGGCGAACCGGGGGAACUGAAACAUCUAAGUACCCCGAGGAAAAGAAAUCAACCGAGAUUCCCCCAGUAGCGGCGAGCGAACGGGGAGGAGCCCAGAGCCUGAAUCAGCAUGUGUGUUAGUGGAAGCGUCUGGAAAGGCGCGCGAUACAGGGUGACAGCCCCGUACACAAAAGCGCAUGUGCUGUGAGCUCGAUGAGUAGGGCGGGACACGUGGUAUCCUGUCUGAAUAUGGGGGGACCAUCCUCCAAGGCUAAAUACUCCUGACUGACCGAUAGUGAACCAGUACCGUGAGGGAAAGGCGAAAAGAACCCCGGCGAGGGGAGUGAAAAAGAACCUGAAACCGUGUACGUACAAGCAGUGGGAGCACAGGUUUACCUGUGUGACUGCGUACCUUUUGUAUAAUGGGUCAGCGACUUAUAUUCUGUAGCAAGGUUAACCGCAUAGGGGAGCCGGAGGGAAACCGAGUCUUAAUUGGGCGUUAAGUUGCAGGGUAUAGACCCGAAACCCGGUGAUCUAGCCAUGGGCAGGUUGAAGGUUGGGUAACACUAACUGGAGGACCGAACCGACUAAUGUUGAAAAAUUAGCGGAUGACCUGUGGCUGGGGGUGAAAGGCCAAUCAAACCGGGAGAUAGCUGGUUCUCCCCGAAAGCUAUUUAGGUAGCGCCUCGUGAAUUCAUCUCCGGGGGUAGAGCACUGUUUCGGCUAGGGGGCCAUCCCGGCUUACCAACCCGAUGCAAACUGCGAAUACCGGAGAAUGUUAUCACGGGAGACACACGGCGGGUGCUAACGUCCGUCGUGAAGAGGGAAACAACCCAGACCGCCAGCUAAGGUCCCAAAGUCAUGGUUAAGUGGGAAACGAUGUGGGAAGGCCCAGACAGCCAGGAUGUUGGCUUAGAAGCAGCCAUCAUUUAAAGAAAGCGUAAUAGCUCACUGGUCGAGUCGGCCUGCGCGGAAGAUGUAACGGGGCUAAACCAUGCACCGAAGCUGCGGCAGCGAACGUAUCACCCAAGACAACUUUGCACAGUUGACGAUUGACGGAGCGGAGCGACGUCAAAGCGUUUUACAACGUCGAGUUGGCUUAGGGAUACGUUCGUUGGGUAGGGGAGCGUUCUGUAAGCCUGCGAAGGUGGCCUGUGAGGGUUGCUGGAGGUAUCAGAAGUGCGAAUGCUGACAUAAGUAACGAUAAAGCGGGUGAAAAGCCCGCUCGCCGGAAGACCAAGGGUUCCUGUCCAACGUUAAUCGGGGCAGGGUGAGUCGACCCCUAAGGCGAGGCCGAAAGGCGUAGUCGAUGGGAAACGGGUUAAUAUUCCCGUACUUGGUGUUACUGCGAAGGGGGGACGGAGAAGGCUAUGUUGGCCGGGCGACGGUUGUCCCGGUUUAAGCGUGUAGGCUGGUUUUCCAGGCAAAUCCGGAAAAUCAAGGCUGAGGCGUGACGACGAGGCACUACGGUGCUGAAGCAACAAAUGCCCUGCUUCCAGGAAAAGCCUCUAAGCAUCAGGUAACAUCAAAUCGUACCCCAAACCGACACAGGUGGUCAGGUAGAGAAUACCAAGGCGCUUGAGAGAACUCGGGUGAAGGAACUAGGCAAAAUGGUGCCGUAACUUCGGGAGAAGGCACGCUGACACGUAGGUGAAGUGAUUUACUCAUGGAGCUGAAGUCAGUCGAAGAUACCAGCUGGCUGCAACUGUUUAUUAAAAACACAGCACUGUGCAAACACGAAAGUGGACGUAUACGGUGUGACGCCUGCCCGGUGCCGGAAGGUUAAUUGAUGGGGUCAGCGCAAGCGAAGCUCCUGAUCGAAGCCCCGGUAAACGGCGGCCGUAACUAUAACGGUCCUAAGGUAGCGAAAUUCCUUGUCGGGUAAGUUCCGACCUGCACGAAUGGCGUAAUGAUGGCCAGGCUGUCUCCACCCGAGACUCAGUGAAAUUGAACUCGCUGUGAAGAUGCAGUGUACCCGCGGCAAGACGGAAAGACCCCGUGAACCUUUACUAUAGCUUGACACUGAACAUUGAGCCUUGAUGUGUAGGAUAGGUGGGGAGGCUUUGAAGUGUGGACGCCAGUCUGCAUGGAGCCAACCUUGAAAUACCACCCUUUAAUGUUUGAUGUUCUAACGUGGACCCGUUACCCGGGUUGCGGACAGUGUCUGGUGGGUAGUUUGACUGGGGCGGUCUCCUCCUAAAGAGUAACGGAGGAGCACGAAGGUUGGCUAAUCCUGGUCGGACAUCAGGAGGUUAGUGCAAUGGCAUAAGCCAGCUUGACUGCGAGCGUGACGGCGCGAGCAGGUGCGAAAGCAGGUCAUAGUGAUCCGGUGGUUCUGAAUGGAAGGGCCAUCGCUCAACGGAUAAAAGGUACUCCGGGGAUAACAGGCUGAUACCGCCCAAGAGUUCAUAUCGACGGCGGUGUUUGGCACCUCGAUGUCGGCUCAUCACAUCCUGGGGCUGAAGUAGGUCCCAAGGGUAUGGCUGUUCGCCAUUUAAAGUGGUACGCGAGCUGGGUUUAGAACGUCGUGAGACAGUUCGGUCCCUAUCUGCCGUGGGCGCUGGAGAACUGAGGGGGGCUGCUCCUAGUACGAGAGGACCGGAGUGGACGCAUCACUGGUGUUCGGGUUGUCAUGCCAAUGGCACUGCCCGGUAGCUAAAUGCGGAAGAGAUAAGUGCUGAAAGCAUCUAAGCACGAAACUUGCCCCGAGAUGAGUUCUCCCUGAGACUUAGAGUCUCCUGAAGGAACGUUGAAGACGACGACGUUGAUAGGCCGGGUGUGUAAGCGCAGCGAUGCGUUGAGCUAACCGGUACUAAUGAACCGUGAGGCUUAACCUU
rnacentral:rRNA from 1 species